rnacentral:tRNA from 1 species
GGUGGGGUUCCCGAGCGGCCAAAGGGAGCAGACUGUAAAUCUGCCGUCAUCGACUUCGAAGGUUCGUAAUCCUUCCCCCACCACCA